UCAGAUAGUAUUGCAACAGAACCGUUUCCCUAUCUUAGACCUGCAUAUAAAGAAUCUGACAGAAACCCAGCUUGAGCUUCAGUUCCUUAACUUCACUAAAGUGAAAAGUGAGGACUCUGUGCUGACUCCCUGAGCUGAUUGAAUCUACAACUACCUAAGCUUUCAAAUUCAAGCUACACAGCAGCUCAUUCUCCUUUAAUAACGAUCAGAUCUCUGGACACACACCAGCCAACCAACCUCUCAGCUGACCAUGAAGAUCCUCACAGCUGCCUUCCAUAUGUUGCUGUUUCCUGCAGCAGACUUGCUGACCUUCUUUGACAAGCACGUUGUUCGUUUUCAGAUGUUAGCACGGCAUUGCAAUGGAGGGAUGCAGAGAAUCAAUGCUCAAAUUGGUGACUGCAAGUGGGAAAAUACCUUUAUCAUUGACCUAAAUGAUCAGUUAAGAACGAUCUGUAACACAGGUUCCCCUUCAGCAACAAGUCACUCUUGGUUUCCUAUUGUUGACUGUACACUAGUUAGAGGAAGCUUAUAUCCUAAUUGUAACUACAAGGGUCGGCCUUUGAUGGCAACAAAUAUUAGAGUGAGUUGUUAUGGUGGGUUUCCUUAUCACUUGGAAAACUUGGCUAAAGGACAGCCACGUCAGUAACUUAGAAAGUUAUGUUUUAGGACAAAAUGCUAAUAGAAUUUUGUCUGAAUACCAUGUGGGCCUUAAACUUUUCCUGCUGGUUUAUUUUCAAUAUAUUUCAUUUGUUCAUUUGUUUCAUUUCUUAUGUGAGAAAUGUAUCUGGUUGUAACAUCAUUACAGGUAAAUGUUCAGUUUUGUUAGGUGCAUUUCAUUUAACAUAAUUAUGUACCAUGAAAAGAAUAUUGCGAGAGCUCGAUAAAUGAUUAUAAAGAUGGUUUUACCAGCAAAGCUUGCAGAAAAUGUUCUUUAACGAAUCACUCAUUUUGUUUGCUUAUUGUGUACGUUAAAGUCAAA